AGACCUGUAGUUUAGAGACAGAGCAUUUGCCUCGAGAGCAGAAGGUCCCAGGUUCCAUACCUGACAUGUCUA